UGAAUAAUCGCUGGAUCCGGCUCGAAG
rnacentral:sRNA from 1 species